rnacentral:rRNA from 1 species
GUCGAGGGGCAGCACUGGGUAGCAAUACCUGGGUGGCGACCGGCANNNNNNUGCGGAACNNNNNNGCAACCUUCUCAUAACUGGUGAAUAGCCCUCCGAAAGGAGGAUUAAUACACCGUAACAUAAUGAAGUGGCAUCACUUUAUUAUUAUAGGCAGCAAUGUCGGUUUUGGAUGGGCGUGCGCCUGAUUAGGUAGUUGGCGGGGUAACGGCCCACCAAGCCUGCGAUCAGUAACUGGUGUGAGAGCACGACCAGUCACACGGGCACUGAGACACGGGCCCGACUCCUACGGGAGGCAGCAGUAAGGAAUAUUGGUCAAUGGACGAAAGUCUGAACCAGCCAUGCCGCGUGAAGGAUUAAGGCCCUCUGGGUUGUAAACUUCUUUUAUCUGGGACGAAAAAAGGGUAUUCUUACUCACUUGACGGUACCAGAGGAAUAAGCACCGGCUAACUCCGUGCCAGCAGCCGCG